GUACUCAACUUUACCAUUCUGAACUUUCAAAGAAAAUCGGCCAGGAAAAUUCUCGAUUUUUUCCAAAUUUUGGAUUUCUUUAGAAACAGAUAGAAUUUUGAAGUAAUCUUUAUUAAUAAUUAAGUUUUAAAGCUUUCAAAAAAUUUCAAAUGGUUUGCGCAAGGUUUGGACGUGUUUUUUGAAACCGAUUUUAUUAACACUUUACAUUUACAUGAGGAGUUCGUUUGGAGGAAAGAAAGUUUAUGAAAUCCCCCACCAGGUGCCACUGCAGUUUAACAACAACAAUGGCUGCCAUUUCUCCACAUCAUGCUCCACAUUGAUUAGUGCUAAGUGUCACGUUUCGAGUAUGAGAUGAACAUUUUUUAAAAAAUGUUUGUUUUAGCAGAUUAAUUAUUGUCAGUCUUCAUAGUUCGUUUUCUUGUAGAUUCUGUGAAAGUCGUGCUGGUAUUGCGACCAUAUCUAAAGGGAUUGUGGCCCAGUUAAAGCGUGGUUAAAGUGAGUACUAUAACUGAACCCAGAGAAAAGAAGAAGAAGGUCAUGAUCAGAAUUAUUGAAAAUAUUCUGCCCAAGGAAUGACGCCUUAAACGAUGAAAUUGCGGAGGCGAUCUUCAACAGUAUUGCGUAACAAUAUUGCCAUAAACGACACGCGAAAGGUUCCGGCGGUCAUCAACUAUUCAAGAUGGUAGACAUGCCAAUGUAAAAGACAGGACCCAUCCCCAGCAACGUCAACCUGCAGAAAAAAAAGCCCAAAAAGGCCAGUUUCUAUGGCCUUCAGACUCGAAGAUCGCGGAGAUAAUUACGUAAACUGGCAUGGUUAGAGGUUGGGUGAGAAUGGCACGUUUUUCAACAUUAUCAAGCAGACCCAUCCCCGGCAAAGUCACCUGCAGAAGGAAAGGCCAGUUUGCAUU